rnacentral:lncRNA from 1 species
AUGUUGAUCAAAGCAAGGCCCGGCGCGGCUCGCCGUAGCGCUGCUGGCAGCGGCAGGGGCAGCGUUGCCAUAAUAGCUGUUGAACUCCGAGACACCCACCGCGGAGGGGCCGCCGCCGCCGCCUCCCCCGCCGCCACCGCCGCCGCCGCCGAGGCCGCCGCCGCUCCCGGCGCUCGGGGGCGGCUGCUGGGGCUGCUGCUGUCCGCCCAGGGGUCCCAAGCCGGGGUGCUCGUAGCGGCCGCCGAUGGGCUCGCCCAUUUUGCCGGGCAUCUCCUCCUCGUCGGCGCCUUUAUUCAGCAUCUGCUGCGGCGGCUGCUGCGGCGGCUCGGCCGGAGCGCCCAGGACGCCGUCUUUUCCUCCAUGUUGCUGCUGCUCCAUGUCUGCGCCGGGCUGCGCAGCGCCGCCACCGCCGCCGCCGUUGUUGUUGCCGCCGCCGCCGCCGCCGAGGCUGCCGCUGCUAUUCUGCGCGGGAUGGUGCUGAGGCGGCGGCUGCUGCGGCGGCGGCGGCGGGAAGGGGUUCAGCGGCUGCGGCGGAGCGUGGUGGCGGUGGUGCGGGCGGUGGGCAUGGUGGUGGUGGGCAUGGUGGUGCGGGUGGUGGGCACGGUGGUGGUGGGGCGGCGCGGCGGGGCGAUCGCCUCCGACGCUCUUCAGCUUGUGGUUGGGGAGCAGCCCCGUCUCCAUGGCCGAGCCCGGGGUGGAGGAGGAGGAGGAGGAGGAGGAGGAGGAGGAGGAAGGCGGCGAGGACGACGAGGAGCGCGCCGCGGAGCCGCCGCCGGCCUCCUUCAGCGCCGGCUCCGAGGAGGGGCCGCCGGCCGCGCUGCCGCCGUUGGGAGCGGCGCGGUGGGCCAUGGCCGGCUCGCCGUGCUGCCGCCGGGCCGGCGCGGGGUGCUGCUGCUCGGCGGAGGGCCCCCCCCCCGGGCCGCGCUCCGGCGGGCCCGGCGCCUUGCCCUGGCUGUUGUUCGCCCCCGCCGGAGCCGCCGCCACUUGCGCGGCCAUGAUCACCGCCACAUCGCGAGGUCGGAGGGACUGGCGCUGGGACCGAAAAGACCAAAAAUCGGGCAAAAAAACAGACGGAGCUCGGCCCCCGCGCUCAGCGAGGGGGAGACAGCCGGGGGGAGGGGGGGGGAGACGAGCGGGGCGAGAGGGUCGGCCGGGCCGGGGCGUCCCUGCGGGCCGCUCCGCUCCGCAGAAAUCCCCUCCUCGAGUCCGUGGCCGAGAAAUGGUAAGAGCGCCUUACGCUGCGCGCCCGCUCCCGCUGUGUGA